rnacentral:misc_RNA from 1 species
CAAAGAGCUAUGAAAUCUAGAAGUGCCACAUGGAGGAGACCUUUUCCAGAGAAAUCGCACCGUUGGAAACUGUGAUGCCACCUUGUUUCCAAACGUAAUGCCACCUCUCUCUCUCUUUCAGUCUCUCUCUCUGCUUCUCUCUCUCUUUAUAUAUGCAAGCCUCUCUCUCCCUCGUUCUACUCAAUCCCGUCGCUAGUCCUGCUCGACGUUGCUUGUAGAUUUAUUACAAAAUGGCGGGAAACGACUGGAUAAACAGUUACCUUGAAGCGAUUCUCGACGUUGAUCCAGGGCUAGACGAUAAAAAAUCGUCGCUAUUGCUAAGGGAGAGAGGCCGCUUCAGUCCCACUCGUUACUUCGUCGAGGAGGUCAUCACCGGCUUCGAUGAGACUGAUCUCUACCGUUCUUGGAUUCGAGCUGCAGCCAUGAGGAGUACGCAGGAGAGGAAUACUAGAUUGGAAAACAUGUGCUGGAGGAUUUGGAAUUUGGCUCGCAAGAAGAAACGGCUUGAGGGAGAGGAAGUUCAGCGUAAAGCUAAACGUCACAUUGAACGUGAAAGAGGUCGCAAAGAGGCAACUGCUGAUAUGUCUGAAGACUUAUCAGAAGGAGAGAAAGGAGAGGCGCACGGUGAAAUUUUGUCUCAUGGUGAUGGUGUUAGAGGAAGAAUGCCUAGAAUAACUUCUGUUGACGUCAUGGAGAACUGGGCUAAACAACACAAGGAGAAGAAACUAUAUAUUGUGCUGAUAAGCCUUCAUGGCUUGAUACGUGGUGAAAACAUGGAGCUUGGACGUGAUUCUGAUACAGGUGGCCAGGUUAAGUAUGUAGUAGAACUUGCAAGGGCCUUAGGCACAAUGCCAGGGGUUUAUCGGGUUGAUUUGCUGACAAGACAAGUCGCAGCUCCAGAUGUGGAUUGGAGUUAUGCUGAACCUACAGAGAUGUUGAAUCCAAGAAAUUCAGAGAAUUUUAUGCAGGAGCUUGGGGAAAGCAGUGGUGCCUAUAUAAUUCGUAUACCAUUUGGCCCAAAGCAUAAGUAUAUACAAAAAGAGCUCCUUUGGCCUUACAUUCCAGAAUUCGUAGAUGGUGCACUUAGCCAUAUUAUCCAGAUGUCUAGAGUUUUAGGGGAGCAAAUUGGCAGUGGAAAUCCAGUCUGGCCUGUUGCAAUUCAUGGGCAUUAUGCUGAUGCAGGUGACUCUGCUGCUCUUCUCUCUGGAGCUCUAAAUGUUCCUAUGGUUUUUACUGGACAUUCACUUGGGCGGGAUAAGCUUGAACAACUUUUGAAACAAGGAAGGCAGUCAAGAGAAGAUAUAAACACAACUUAUAAAAUAAUGCGAAGAAUAGAGGCAGAAGAGUUAACUCUUGAUGCUUCUGAGAUUAUUAUAACUAGCACUAGACAGGAGAUAGAAGAACAAUGGCGCCUGUAUGAUGGUUUUGAUCCUGUACUAGAGCGCAAACUCAGAGCAAGGAUCAAGAGGGGAGUAAACUGUCAUGGCAGGUUUAUGCCACGCAUGAUUGUGAUUCCUCCUGGAAUGGAAUUUCAUCAUAUCAUUCCGAAUGAUGGGGAUAUGGAUGGGGAAGAAGAUGAAAAAGGUGAAGACAAUCCUGCUGCUCCUGAUCCUCCAAUUUGGUCAGAGGUGUUGUUAGUCUUUCUUCUCCAUGACUUGCUUUGCAACAGCUAUAUAUAUAUUUGCCUACUGCAAAUGACUUUAUUUUGGGAGAUGAACUUCAAAUGAUAUGUUUAGCAAUUGGAUUUUUCUGUUAUCAAUUUUAAUACACAUUGCAAUCAUGAUAUUGACUCUAGCUUUCUGAUUUGGGUAGAUAAUGCGUUUCUUUUCAAAUCCACGGAAACCCAUGAUACUUGCCCUUGCCAGGCCUGACCCCAAAAAGAAUAUAACCACUUUAGUUAAAGCAUUUGGAGAAUGCCGCCCGCUAAGGGAGCUUGCUAACCUCGUAAGUUGUCUUGGAACUUCACCUGCCCAGUGCAUAUAUUUCCAUGAAUAAAUGGCUCCACAUCCUCUCUUACUGACAUAUUGGAAUCCAUUAUGUGUCCAAUUUAGAUGUUUUACUAUUCUUGCAGACAUUAAUAAUGGGAAACCGUGAUGAUAUUGAUGAAAUGUCAAGCACAAAUGCAAGUUAUCUUCUUUCCAUCAUUAAGCUCAUUGAUAAAUAUGAUCUGUAUGGCCAAGUAGCAUAUCCUAAACACCACAAGCAGUCUGAUGUUCCUGACAUUUAUCGUCUUGCAGCAAAAACAAAGGGUGUUUUCAUCAAUCCUGCUUUCAUUGAGCCCUUUGGGCUUACAUUGAUUGAGGCUGCAGCUCAUGGUUUACCUAUUGUUGCUACAAAAAAUGGGGGUCCUGUUGACAUUCAUCGGGUACUUGACAAUGGACUACUAAUUGAUCCCCACGACCAGCAGUCUAAUGCUGAUGCUCUUCUGAAGCUUGUUUCAGAUAAACAACUUUGGGUUAGAUGUAGGCAGAAUGGACUGAAAAAUAUUCACCUUUUCUCAUGGCCAGAACAUUGUAAGACAUACUUAGCUCGAAUAACCAGUUGCAGGCCUAGGCAGCCUCAGUGGAAGAGAAGUGAAGAUGGGUUGAGAAGUGAAGAGUCUGAUUCACCUGGUGAUUCUUUAAGAGACAUUCAAGAUUUAUCUUUGAAGCUUUCAUUGGAUGGAGACAAAAAUGAAAGUGGAACUCUUGAUAAUUCUCCAGAUAUUGAGGAAAAUGCUGCAGAUGGGAAGGACAUGUUAGGCAGAAAUGUUUUGACAUUGUCAAAAGGUGCUAUAAGAGGUGCACAGAAUGAAUCAACAGAGAAAGUGGACAAAAAUGUUAGCAGUAGCAAAUUUUCAUCGCUGAGGAAGAGGAAACACAUUUUUGUUAUUGCAGUAGAUGGUGAUACAACGUCAGAUUUUCUUGAAACUGUUAAGAUUGUUGUUGAGGUAUCAAUGAAGGAAAACUCAAUAGGGUUCAUUUUAUCGACAUCCAUGACCAUAUAUGAGAUACACUCACUUCUGGCCUCAGGAGGCUUGAGCCCAUUGGAUUUUGAUGCAUUUAUAUGUAACAGUGGUAGUGAAGUCUAUUAUCCAUCUUCAAGCACUGGGGAUGUUGCUGGGCUUCCUUUUGUAUUAGACUUGGAUUAUCAUUCACACAUUGAAUACCGUUGGGGUGGAGAAGGUUUGAGGAGGACUCUGGUCCGUUGGGCUGCUUCUAUAAAUGAUAAGAAGGGACAGGAACAAAUUGUUGUAGAAGAUGAAUCAGGAUCAACAGCACAUUGCUUUGCAUUUAAAGUGAAAGAACCAUCGUUGAUCCCUCCAUUUAGAGAACUUCGGAAAUUGAUGAGAAUUCAGGGCCUCCGCUGCCAUGUUAUUUAUUGUCAGAAUGGUGCCAAGAUAAAUGUGAUCCCUGUGUUGGCUUCUCGAUCCCAAGCCCUCAGAUAUCUAUACGUUCGAUGGGGUGCAGACUUGUCAAAUUUUGUGGUUUUUGUGGGGGAAUGUGGUGAAUCAGAUUACGAAGGCCUACUUGGUGGACUUCACAAGUCAGUUAUAUUGAAGGGAGUUGGCAGCACUGCUCGUAAGCUUCAUGCUGACAGAAGCUAUCCUUUGGAAGAUGUUACACCAUUCGAUAGUGCCAAUGUUGUCCAAAGCGAGGGAUGCAACGUUAAUGACAUAAAGCAAUCACUGGAGAAACUAGGGGUUCUCAAGAUCUAGAAAAUUACAGCAUCUUCGCCUCUUAUAAGAGAACUCUUUUCACUCUGCCAAAUUUUGCGGCAGAGAUGCAUCCUGAAACUUGUUUCAUUAAUGCAAAAAUGAAUUAACUUCUUGGUUUAUUAUAAUAGUUGCGUCUGUUACAUAGAAAAUUUAUGCUACAAAACGAUUGGACCGAUACAAUAGGAGCAUUUUUUUUCUUUGGGAAUCUCAUGAGUCUUGAUACAAAUGGUCUGUUUUGACCGGAAAUGGCUUUUACUGUACUGUCAUGUAAGAAAUAAGGUUUAGCUAAGUGGGUUUCUAGUAGGGAAGAAGGAAAGGAGGCCCACUUUUGCUGAUGGGUCUCGGUCUAGACAGGAAAAGAAAAUGGUAAUGGUCUACGUUGAAAUGGCUGUGGUGGUGCUCUCUCGAAGGCUUUUACAGUCAAUGCCUCCGUGAGUUACACUAGACAGCAGCAUGUUUGGUCACCGACUGCACGCCCACCGUUUCAGAUUUCAGGCACCGCCAAGGAAUGAAUCAGCGCUAGAGAAGAGAAAAUUAGUUUAGGCGUUUUGUUGGCUAUAACCAUAACAUGUAAUCAAUUUUUACAAUUUAUGGUUAGAAUUAAAAUAAUAUUUAAAAUAGAUAUCCGACUGUUAGAAUUAAUUUAAUUAGUAAAGUGAGUUCAUUUUUUUUAUUAAAA